AUGAACGCUGGCGGCGUGCCUAAUACAUGCCAGUCGAGCGAACAGACGAGGAGCUUGCUCCUCUGACGUUAGCGGCGGACGGGUGAGUAACACGUGGAUAACCUACCUAUAAGAUUGGGAUAACUUCGGGAAACCGGAGCUAAUACCGGAUAAUAUAUUGAACCGCAUGGUUCAAUAGUGAAAGACGGUUUUGCUGUCACUUAUAGAUGGAUCCGCGCCGCAUUAGCUAGUUGGUAAGGUAACGGCUUACCAAGGCAACGAUGCGUAGCCGACCUGAGAGGGUGAUCGGCCACACUGGAACUGAGACACGGUCCAGACUCCUACGGGAGGCAGCAGUAGGGAAUCUUCCGCAAUGGGCGAAAGCUUGACGGAGCAACGCCGCGUGAGUGAUGAAGGUCUUCGGAUCGUAAAACUCUGUUAUUAGGGAAGAACAAAUGUGUAAGUAACUAUGCACGUCUUGACGGUACCUAAUCAGAAAGCCACGGCUAACUACGUG
rnacentral:rRNA from 1 species